CGCCAAAUUUCUCCCCGCCCACAAAAUUGCCGCCGCCCAUCGGUAUUUUCCACUGCCGCCAACGCGUCUGGGCAAAUUUCGGCCGCUAAAUCUUCCCCCCAGCCCACAAAAUUGCCGCCGCCCAUCAGUAUUUUCCGCUGCCGCCAACGCGUCUUGGCUCCGCGCACCUGCUUCUUCCGGACUCGUGGCCGUUGUUUAUCUGUUCGGUGCCCCUUUUCCGCUCUCAGAAAAGGAAGAAGAAUUUUCAUUAUAUUAUGCUUUUGCUGAAGCCCCAAAGUCUUUCAACUGCUUAAUCGGUUGAAUGCCCAACAUUGUCAAUUGCAGUCAAUAGGCGGCGCCGGAGAUCGAGGUGAGAGGAGAAGUCGGCCCAGCCCGUAUGUGAAGAUCGCCAUCUCCCUUAUGAAAACAAUUUAAUUAAAGAAAAUAAAAUCUGAGCUCGUUUUUUCUGUAACGCCCCUCCGCCUAUUUUCGUUCUCAAUUCCGAGCAACGGCGGCACUGUAUCAAGCUUUUAAUUUGACGUUAAGGGACGCAUAGUUAGCCGUCUAUAAGGGUAUAGCACCUAGGAAAAACAGGAUAAAAAAUGAACAGGUUGUUUCUGGCAAGGCACUACUGAAGAAUGGGAAAAAAACUGCUGAAUCUACUCUAGAAGAGGAAGUUUCCGACAGGAAAACAGCGGAAGACAAAAAAGCUAGUGACGCAAAAUAAACUGUUUCACCUCCUGUGGUUAAGAAGAAGCCUUGUACGUGGCUUAAGCUUGAUAGGCUUGUCCCUCAAACAGAAAAGAAAUCAUCACCGGAGAGUUCCAGACACGACAAAGAAGCCAAGAUCAGUAUCGAAGUUCAGCCGACAAAAGACAAUAAGAGGAAGAGAAGAAAAAAAGGUGAAGAGGGAGGUAAUAAUCAUCCGAAGUAUCAUGAAAAGUAUAUAGAUUCCCGUCAUGAGAAAAAGGAGAAGAGAAACGAAUAAAACGAGCGAGGUGUGUUGGGCGGCAUAUGUCUUUGGUUCUCACUUUCAGUUCUUAGCUAUUUAGAUGCUCAUAUGGAUUUGGUGGAUUGUGCUCUUGGCCGGCCGUGUAUCUUUCGGUGAAUUACGUCAUUCGUUGGCACAUUUUUCCGCUUUUGGCUCUGUACAUUACGCCCUGCUUUUUCGCCAUGGAUUCAGUUAUGUGUUUUUUUUGUCUCUUUGGUGUCGGGAAGUUCUUGUCCCUUUGGAAUUUUUUUAUUCGUGGAAUUUUCUUUUUCAUUAUUGUGCAGCUAUUUUACCUCCUUGGUUUUCUCAAAUUUAUGUUUUAUGAAAAUGGCAAUUCUUUCAGCGUGCGUCCAUCAGGCAUUUAUUUGUUUGUUUUUGUCUCCUCCUUUUGUAAUUACCUUUCAAUUAUUAGCUCUUUAUGUGUUCACAUGUAAUUCGUUGAAUCGCCUGCCUGCUUAGUUUUGCGUACAUGUCACAUUUAUUUGUCUGCUUGCUCGUGUCCUACAUUUAUUUGCUUUAAUACUUAGUUAACAGUUGUGGAACAGGGUUGGAGUGGGUGCAUGCUGAAUUGGCAACGUCAAGAGUACAUCAUCGGUGCUGCCAGGCGUACGUCGGGAGGUUCUUAAACUUUUAUGGCAUUAUUGUAUGGAUUUUUAUGCCCUUCUACAUUGGUUUACGCCGUAUGUGGAAAUUUUCAUUUCCGCCUUGUGACGCUGUUUUACCUCGCUCUUUUAUCUAACUGAACCUGCGUUCUUCUUGAUUCUUGACA